rnacentral:tRNA from 1 species
GAAGAGAGAUAUUCAGAAUUGAGCUUCUAACUCAAUAUCUUAGUGGUGUAAUUCCAUUAGCACUUCU